rfam:Hordeum vulgare subsp. vulgare, WGS project CAJW01000000 data, contig: morex_contig_43339
AAUAUAUUCCUCCGUCCAGAAAUACUUGUCCUAAAAAUGCAUAUAAUGGAUGUAUCUAUAACUAAAAUAAGUCUAGAUUCAUCCAUUUCUAGGACAAAUAUUUCCGGACGGAGGGAGUAGUUC